UUUGAAACCUGGCGUGCUGCAGUCCCUGGGGUUGCAAAGAGUCAACAACUGAGAAACACUGCAAGGUCACAGGAGGGGACUCCUCCCUGUUCUGAGACCAGGCUAGAUUCCAGAGCAGCAAGUUAAAGCCCUGCUGAGUUUAGGCUAGGGCCAGUUUUUCCCAGAUUCAGACCUAAUAUGCUAAUUCCUGGCCUAGUGAUGGAAUGCUCAGCUCCCUGCAGGCCUGGCCUGCCAGGGAAGGGAGGUGCCUGCAGACAGCUGAGGGAGUCACUCGGGGAUGAGUCACUCAUCUCUGCUCUGGGCAGUUGAUUGUAUCAUCAACCUUGUCAGUCUCUCUAGCAGGCAAGUGUCCAGGCAUGGACUUAAGGGCAAGAGUGGGAGGAAGAACCCAGGAAGAGGCUCCUGAGGACCAGGGGAAACACAGCCACUGAACGCCCACAGGCGGGUGAUGGAUGAAGUCCAUUUGUUCCGGGAAGCUGCCCUGGCCCAGACAGUGGUUUGACAGUUUUCACAAUAAAAUAUUAAGCAGAAGAGGAUCUUCCCUGGAUGCACAUCUGCCUACAGCUACACCCAGUUUUUCCACCGAUUGACGCAGCCAACCUUCCGCAUAGAGUCUUUGACACUUGGGCUUUCACUCCUCCCCCGGCCCAUUCAUGCGUCUGUCUAUUCCCAGCUGGUUUCUGCCCAUCGCCACACUGGACCUGCCUGGCCCAGAUCCUCACCGCUUCCAUGCUGCCCACCCUGCAGUCACGUUCCACACAGGUGGCCACUCCUUCCUCUCCAAACCCUCUUGUCUCUCAGCCUCCACAACACUGGCUUCUCCUGGUUUUUCUUCUGCCUCGCCAGACUCUUCUUGCUCUUCUUCACUUUCUCCCCUUUCUCUACUCACCCUCGGAAGCCUGGGUUCCUAGGAGCUCAGACCGUUUCUUUCAUUAAGUGGUUCACUGAUUCCUAUAGAUUUAAAGAAUGAAUUUGUUCUAAAGAUGCCCACACUUAACAGCUCUCCUUUUUUUUUUUUGCUCGUUCUCUUG
ensembl:lncRNA